UUCAAUUGUGAGCUAGGUGUGAAAUCACGGUCAAAAACAAUACGGUUUUUGUUUAUUUUAGGCAUCCUUCGACAGUUGGUGCCUGGCUUGAUUUAACAUUGCUACGCAGAAAUAUGAGCCACUAUUUAGUGGAUUUUGUGCUGACCACUAAGAAGCCAGUGUUGGAACUAUUCCUUUAUGGCUUUUGUAAAUCUAUGGGGAGCAGGUUUUGCCUAGGUUGAUACACAAUUUUAUACUUCCCAUUCUAAAGGCAUGUUCACAAAAGGAACUGUGUAAAUAAACAGAUCUAUAUUGACAAAUGAACGUUGUCCACACAGCGUGCAGAAACAUUGUUUGUUCUGUUGUACCACUUGAAACGUUUCUAAAAGUAGCAUUCCUUGAUCAAACUGUGUGUUAUUGUUAUACGCUAACCUGUCAAUUAUUAGGUGCACCUGCUUGUUAACGCAGAUCUAAUUAGCCAAUCACAGGGCAGCAUCUUGACGCGUUCAGGCCUUUAAAUGCCUCGCUGAAGUCAGAGGAGAAUGGCCAGACUGGCUGGAGCUGAUAGAAAGGCAACACAACAGUCACCUUGUUACAACUGAGGUCCAAGAUUGGAAGUGCCUGUUGAAAACGGUCUAGAUGAGGAUAAAGCCCUGGAAGUGGUUUCUUUGCAUGUCAAUGGGAAGCCACAGAAACUUCCAGAACAGGCCCGCAAUUUGCUUUUGUGUUAUUUUUAUGCUAAAUGGCAUCACUGCGUUUGUCACCUGUCCUCUACCUCACAUUCUUCCGUUAGGUUCUCCUUUGGUGGUUUCUCUGAUUGGAGCUCUGUUGAGGGAGUUCCCUGACCGCUGGAGCUUUUAUCUUUGGCUGCUUUUUGGAGAGCUUUACUCCCUGAUGUUUUCCUUGGACUGGGUCAACGAAAAAAGCUCAGGUUAUGGGAUCCGCCCAUCUCAUCAACGACAAUGUAGAAUAUGGCGAAAUACUAGACAAAGAGGGAUUUAUACAGUUUGUUCGAUUUGCUGAUGUUCCUCAAUAAAUAGUGAGGCGAGACUGCAGUUUCAGGAGUUCCUCUCUCUGAACGGACAUCAGCUGGAGCAGAGGGCAGCUCUAUCUGGACUGGGUGAAGAAAAAUGGCUGGUUCCCGGCUGGUCGCGCAUCCUCACCAGAGGUCCUUGUACUGUGCUUGCUUCUCCAAAGAUGGGAUCAAGAUUGGCU